rnacentral:misc_RNA from 1 species
UACGGAGGGUGCAAGCGUUAAUCGGAAUUACUGGGCGUAAAGCGCGCGUAGGUGGCUUGAUAAGCGGGUUGUGAAAUCCCCGGGCUCAACCUGGGAACUGCAUCCGGAACUGUCAGGCUAGAGUGCAGGAGAGGAAGGUAGAAUUUCCUGUGUAGCGGUGAAAUGCGUAGAGAUAGGGAGGAAUACCAGUGGCGAAGGCGGCCUUCUGGACUGAUACUGACACUGAGGUGCGAAAGCGUGGGUAGCAAACAGG